GCACUUGUAAAAGGGUGCUGUUUUUUGUUUUCUCCGAAGCCAAAGGUCGCCAGUUCGAUUCUGGCUGGGUGCGCCA
rnacentral:tRNA from 1 species